GCAGAGACAGGGUUUGAACCCUUGCUUGCCACCCCUUCCACCCCUGCUGGACCUCAAGGUAAGCCAUGCCCCCAGCUCAGGGGUAGGACUGCAGGUCUGAAGCUCAUUCACGCCCAACCACCAGGCUGUUGUCAUCCUGGAAGGUUCUUGAAGCUCAUUCACUCCCAACCACGAGGCUGUUGUCAUCCUGGAAGGUCCUUGGGCAUGUGAAACUGAAAUCUGCUUCCCUACUAGAAACCUCUGGGCUUCCCCUGCUGCAGCCUCUGGGGAAACAGGGGCCCUCGGAAGUGGGCCAGCUGCCAUCACCUUUCCUAGCAGCAAAAUUGUUUCAAGAGGCUGUGAGUCCAGUUCCUCCAUAAGGCAUGAGCCCCGCCUCAGCCCUUACUGGGUAGCUGCCUGGUGUAUCUCUUCCUUUGGCUGAACUUCAUCUGUAUCCUUUUCCUGGAAUAAACUAUAACCAUGAGUAUAAGAGCUUUUGGUGGGUCGAAUGAGUCUUUCUAAUGAAUUACCAAAUCUUAGGGCCCCUCCUGAACUUGCCGUUGGUGUCAGAAGUGCAGGAAGCCUCCUGUGCCCUCUGAUCUGGUAGUUGGUCCCAACCUGCUGCAGCUUCAUUCACUGAAUCCUCACGAGAACACUCUAAAGAGGUACCACCACCAUCAAUACUGCCUUACACAUUGGGAAGCUGAGUUAAGUCACCUGGUCGAGGUUGCACGUUUGGCAAAUGAAAGACAGCAGGGUCCCCCUGGAUGCAGCAUGGAGAGUGGACUGCAGACAAGUCUGAGUGGGAAGAAGGCCCAAUAUGAGGCCACAACAGCAGACCAGGUGAGGACAAUGGACAACAGACCACCUGAGCCAUGGUCCAGGGGAUGGAGAGCAAUGGACAUGAUCCAGGUGCACCUAAAAGUGACAGUAGAGCAUUAAACCAAGCACAAGUCACACAUCCGUGGAGCCACCCAUGAAGUUCUACACAAUGCAGGGUGUCUGAAAUCCAGCCAGAAGUACCCAAAUGUGGGGCUUUGUCUGCCAAGAAGACAGUCACCUUUUUCUUCCCUCAAGGCACUUUCUGCUGCCAAGCUGCGGUCCGGCAAGACUACACCCACUCAGAAGGGAUGGUACCUUUUCCUAAGUCAUACAAAGGUACCAUAUUGGCCAGCAGCCACCCUGACCAAUCCUCUGAGAUUUCCUGGCCCUGGAACAUGAAAUGUGCUCCCAGGCUGCUUGCUGAAUGAGGGAAGCGGACCAGACAUUGUAAAGCAGAAUGAGCAUAAAGCCUGGCACACAACUGUGUGGCCCACUGAUGUUUGACAAAUGACGAAAUGAAUGACUAAGUGAACGCUGACGACCAGACAGACAGACAUCUAAGUAAUGGCACUGUGGCGUUACAGAGCUAAAAGAGGCUGGGGUUUUCAAACUCUAGAGUUCUUCAAAGCUGAAAGGAACUGCAAAGCUGUGCUGGGGACAACACAAGGCCAUAUGGCAAAAGCCAGGCACUCAGGGAUCAGCCGUUUCCUGCCUUUCAUCCUUUUAUGUCUCACAUUCUGAACUCCUAUGCAAGCUUUUGUUUGAGGAAGAAAUCUGCUGGCUCAGGAAGGGCAAGAGAUUUGCCCAAUGUCACACAGCAGAGGCUGGGAAGAGGAGGGCAAAGAAGAGGGGUCAGAGAUGUGAGGUCAGAAAUCUGUGGGGAGCUCCCAGAUGAGAGGCUGAGGCCACAGGCAGGAGAGUGAGCAUCAGAAACCAGAGGUUUGUACCAGAGAAGUGAGACCAGGGCGGAAGAGCCCAGGCAAGCCAGCUCAGAGCACAGAUUCAAGGUCAAGUUCCAAACUCAGAGGCCAAAGGCAGGGGUGCAAUUCACUGCUUUUAUUUACUGAGCAACUACUAUGUCCCAGGCAGAGUUCCAGCCCUGGGGUGCAGCCGUGGACCAGACGAGGUCCCUGCCCUCGCACAGCUCACAUUCCGGAGGGAGGGGAGGGGCAGGAAAUAAACAUUAUUUUAAGAAAACCUAUGAACCAACCAGCCAGAGCUAAUAGGAAGAAAAUGAAACAAGGACAAGGAGAGACUAGCGGUAGGUGGGCUAGUUCAUACAGGGUGGUCAGGGAGGGCCUCCCUGAGGAGGUGACAUUUGAGCUAAGCUCUGAAUGAGAUGGGGCCUGCCUGUGCCCCAGCUGGGGGUGAGGGGGUGGAGUUGCUGAGUUGCUGGCCUGGAGAGCCUGCAGAUCCACUCUUCCAAGUUGGGCCGGCUGGGCAGGAAGUCGGGCCCCCUGUAACCGUAUCCCCAGGAAGGAGGAAGCCAGGAAGGCGCUUUCAGCAGUCGUAUUCAUCAAGGCAGCCUGCACUAAGCCCCAGGCAGCACCAGAGGCUCCUCAAGGCCCCUAUCCACCUUCAGCUG